rnacentral:tRNA from 1 species
GGAGGUGCAGUGGCUCAGUGGAAGAGUAUCUCUUUUGAAUGCCGAAGGUCCCAGAUUUGAACCCUGGCAUCUCCA